rnacentral:pre_miRNA from 1 species
GGGUCACAUCAUUGAGGUGGGUUUUAUUUUUGGUUGUUUGGUUGUUAUGAAAAACAAUCUCACCAAAUCAAAACAACCAAAAAUAAAACCCACCUCAAUGAUGUGACCC